GAUUGUACGAUCAUGUAAGAGCAAGGCUUCCACCCCAGGCCAGAUACAGAUUCUGAGAUGGCGGGGGAUGGCGGUAGGACCAGACAAGGAAGAGAUCCUAGAGCAGUGUUGCCAACAGAACUUUCUGGGACGAUGGAAGUGUUCUUUAACAAACAUUGUGGUAGCCACCAGCCACAUACGGCUAUGGAGCACCUGAGAUGUGUUCCCUGGUCACCAGACUGCAGGAGCCACAUCUGGGCCUGGUGAAGAGGACUGCACAGCAUCACCGAGACCGCCUCCUGCAGCUGGCUGUGUCACUGGAUGGCCUUUGGGGUGCUUUACUCAGGAUGAGGAGGUCCCGAUAAGGAACAAAGAACUGACAAGCUACAGCCAGCUGGAAGAAUUCGGGAGGGGCCAAAAGGAGGGAGGGGUUGCCAGCCCAUAAUAUGUCCCGCCAACCUCCCAGAAACCCUCGCACUGGAAACCAUCUUGACUGAGAGGUGUGCGCGCCUCCAGGAAUUGGACCAAACGUGUGCACAGGCAAGAUGAUUGGCCAGAGACAACCCAGAAAGCUAACCCCAUUACCAUAAAACUUGAGGCUGCGAGCCACG